CACCAUGUGGGUCUGUGUACUUUGCGGCCAAUGGAUUUUCGUUUUGAAAUGAGAAAAACAAAAUCGGGAAACGAGCUGUUUCCCGAUUACCAUAUAGAGAUAGGAAAACAAAAAUCCGAAAAUGACCCAUUUUCCGAAUUUUGUUUUGAUAAUAGAAAACGGAAAACGGUAAAACGACCAGUUAUCUGAUUUUCUUUGAUGUGCUUAAAAUGGACAUCGGGAAUUAAAAUACUGCGUGGAAAUCUUCUUUCUCAAUUUUGCGAAGAUUUUUGUGUUGUGACCCGGAAGCUAUCAGUAGUUGGCGGUGUAUUUAAUUUGGAGCCAAGCUAUCAGUAGUUGGCGGUGUAUUUAAUUUGGAGCCAGACAUCCUUGAGACGCACCUCAAAAUGGCAUUGCACGAAUAUGCAGGUUUUAUUUCAGAACACCGAAAUAAUGGAAUGUCCUGUGGGGAUAUCGCCACUGCGUUAUGCACCCAGUUUGGAACUACACGGGGGUUUUCCGAGAGGAAUGUGUGGAGGUGGUGUGCUGAGCAGGGGCUUGUCAGGGACUUCUGCCCUGAUAGUCAACUUGAAGUUGAAGUCGCUGAAGGUAUUCUCGAGACUGGAUUGUCUUUUGGUCGAAAAAUGAUGACUGGAUAUCUACCCGCAAAAGGGGUUAAAGCUUCUGAAAGCAGAGUGGGCAAUGUGUUGAGAAGUAUUCAUCAACCCUACCACAUUGCAAGACAGCAGGGUGCCCGGAAUCUGAACCCCAUACCCUACAAUGCAGAAUACAUGGGUCACAAGCUGCAUGUAGAUCAGAAUGAGAAGCUUGUUAUGUUUGGAGUGACUCAUGUUAUGGCUAUCGAUGGUUUCAGCAAGAAGGUGGUCGGUCACUCCACCAUGCCAAUAAAGAACAACAUCGUGAUUUAUGAGGAAGUGAACCGGCCUGCUGUUCUUUCCUAUGGACUAUGGGACCAGGUCAGAGUUGACUGUGGGAAAGAAUUCUAUCUGGCUUUAUUCAUCCAGGAAAAACUGGCAGAACAUCGACACAAUACUCAAAGGCAGCCCUACCUUCAGACACCUUCUACAAGGAACCAUGUGAUAGAGAGAAUGUGGUCGGAGGUGAAUGCUCGAGUCAACUACCCUUUGAAGACAGCUCUGGUACAGCUGGUGGACCAGGAGGAACUGGACAUGGAGGACAACACAUCCAGGUAUUGUGUGUCAAACCUGACAUGCCAGCUGGCUAGGAUUGGCAUCACAAAUGUCAUACAGGCAUGGAAUGCACACAGGAUCCCAGGAAGGGGAAUACCAAACGAACUGGCUAAAGAAGGGUGUCCUGCAAAACUUUCUGAGGACCUUCUGCCAGUCGGUGCAGUUGCAGCUGACCUGUAUCAGCAGGAAAUGGGAUCAGCCUUGAAAAGAGAAUCCAUUUUUGGAAGUGAUCCUUUCCCCUCUGAAGAAGCCCAACAAUGGACUGAAACUGAGUUUGGUUCUCUCUUUGAUUUGCUAUCCCUCUACCAAAAUGUGGUUAACCAUAACUAUGGCCCUUUUAAAAAUGCAGUGAGGUCUCUGAUUGAUAUCACCUCAAGACAUGUGCGACCUGUUACACAGUGACCUGCAAUGGUCAAUGAAGAAGCAGUAUACCAAAAAUAACAUUUUAUUACAACAAUGAUAAAGUGGAAGUUGUCUUUUUUUUU
ensembl:lncRNA